UGUUUAUUUGUUUACGGAGUUUUUUUCAAUAUUUGAAUUCAGUUUUUUUUUCAUUUCCUAAUUUAUUAUUCCCAUUUCCUUUGUGGUGUUUUUUAGUUUUCUUUCUAUCAUUCGUUUUUGCAUGUUUCUAGCACUCUAUUUUAAUCUUUACAUAGUUUAAUUUUUCCAAGUUUGCUUUCGAUCUCCUGCGAAAUGAAUAAUUUUUAACACGUUAUGGCAUGUUAUUUUAAUGCAGCUUGUUUCAGUUUUUAUAGGAUUAUUUUGCUCAGUAGUCUAAGUAGUUAGGACCCGUUUGGAUGAUUCAAGAAUGGUUAAUCAAGUGUGGAAACUAAUGGACAUAUUUAGAUACUGACCUAUCAAAUUGGAUCAAUUUUGAAGACUCUAAAAUUAAACUAUUUAUAAAACUUUUGCUCUUUCGAAAACUUCAUGAAAUACAAAUUGAACAAAGAUUCGACAUCCUAGCUUUUUAAAGGAUCUUAGAAAAAAUAGAUCCGUAGAAGUGAUUGUUAAAAUCGAUAAGUAGCAGAACUAUUUGGAAGACUGUGGUGCCUCAACGUUUAUACCAUCCUCGUCGUGAUGAAGUUCUACCGUUAAGUGCUCGACUUCGAGCGCAGGUCAUCGGACUAACAAAGCAGGGGAGCCAUCCCCUCUGCAAUGGAUCAAAAUUACGAUAGUGUAUGUCUUCGAAUCAUCCUCAGUGAUGUUUGCCAGACGAAUGCCCAUUGUGAAGCUCUAGUAAAUAAAGUACCGACCUACCUCAACGCCUAUAAUAACAAAAAGAUAUGAGUUGAAAGAUUCUUGGACGAAACAAGAAAUGUAGAAGAUAAAGUGAAUUUCGAACCAUGUAGAAAUACAUCCUACGAAAUAUAUUUUUAGAGAAUUUUUUUACAGUCUUAAUACUUUGUAUAUUUGAAAUACGAUAAAAAAAAAUAUGCUGUAACAUGAUUGAAAAGACCAGAUUCAACGAUAACCCUGAUAUUUAGGCUAAACCUUUGUAUUACUAAUAAUAUUGUAAAGUAUACUUCAUAUAAGUGAUUUUAUAUUCAUGUAUGAAUUGCGAAUAGGGCUAAGGCAGUGAUGUAAUUAAAAGAUUAUUUCGUG